rnacentral:misc_RNA from 1 species
AAGUCGUAACAAGGUUUCCGUAGGUGAACCUGCGGAAGGAUCAUUACUGAGCUGUCGACACGAGUUGUUGCUGGUCCUCAAACGGGGGCAUGUGCACGCUCUGUUCACACAUCCACUCACACCUGUGCACCCUCUGUAGUUCUAUGGUCAGGGGGGACAAUGCUGUCUUCCUCCUGUAGUUCUGCGUUUUUACACAUACACUGUAGCGAAGUCUUAUGGAAUGUGCGCCGCGUUUAACGCAAUGCAAUACAACUUUCAGCAACGGAUCUCUUGGCUCUC